AUUCGUCAUGGCCUUAGGUGGGUAAACCUUCUACAGGAGGCAGGGUAAGAAAAAUUUUCAUGGCCGUAUAAAAGGAGUGGAGGAAAGGAAACAAAACAUUUUUGCAUAAUACUCAUCAGUUUGUGAAAAAUAUCAACCCCAGUGGAAAGCAAUGCGAGGCCAACGAUUUUUUUCUGAAAACCCGGGGAGAGAGUUAGGAAUAUCGGAAAGGAUGUAAUUUGACGAUACUUUUGCAGAACGGUUGAAAAUCCAAGGCAACAGAGACAGGACAGAAGAUGUUGCUGCUUACAGACAAAACGAAAGGAAAAAAAUGCUACGUGUUACAUAUAUUUCAAUGGUUCCUUUGCGAGAAAUGCUCCAACACUGAGAGUAUACAUGCGACAUAAAUCAGCGCACCGUUAUUGUCAAGUAUGAAUCUUUGAGAUCAAUUAUUGAUUGUUUUUAAAGGGGGUUACACUACUGAGGAAAUUGUUUGUUUUGUUUUGUUUUUUUUCAAAUCAAGAACUCAUGUUUGGUUCUCUGCACAAGUAGUUCACCCCAUUUAUUUUUAUUAAAUCGUGUCAAAAUUUGUGGAGCAAAGGAUAUCCAACGUAAAGUAAAACCAUGAUAGCGUCAAAUUGUUUUCACCGAGAUCACAACCAUAUAUUUAUAUAUUUAUUUAUAUGCAUAUAUAUAUGGGAAAGAGAGAGAGAGAGAGAGAGA